rnacentral:tRNA from 1 species
GUCGCUGGAGGCCGAAUCGGGCGAAUGCCUCCGCACAGUGGAAGCGUCUGACGCAGACCGACCAACGGCUGCAAUCGCCCGAACAGCACCGCUGAUGGGAACUGCAAGACCUCCAGUCGGCGGUUCGAAUCCGCCCGGCGCCU